CGCCCGGGACCAAGACUUUGUCUGACCCUGAGCUGGGGGCAAAGGGCGUUUGUCCCGGGGUCUAUGGGCCGCCCAAGGCCACCUGCUCCUCGCGUCAGGAUGAAACCUAAGAACAUGACGUUUGCGGGUGAAACACAGGGAUGAAACCUAGAAUCCCCAGUGUGUAUCUCUGCGGUGAGAAUCAUCCUCCGUCCAGUGUCCACACUGCACAAGCUGAGGAACCCAGGAGCCACGGUUACCAGAUCUUUGUCCCAGUGGGGAAGGGGUCCACUGUGCUGAGACGAUGACCCAGGUCCACAGAGACAAUCUGAGGACUAUGGAGAGAAGAUCCGUGUAAAACACAACCACCUGGAACCACAGACGGUCAUCUGGGAAGAAACACUAGGAGUCUCAGUGUUAGGGUGAUGUCAGCAGGGUAGAAGCCCAGGGCCCAGCACCUCAGGGUGACAUCACCAUUAUGUCCAGGAUGAUGGGUCACAUGUGCCUUUGGGGGAUCUGUGUGGAAGAUUUAAGAAAUCCCACCAUAACAAGGUAAACUGAAAUCUGCAAAGACAAAAUUUAAUCAAACAUAACACUGAAAACUUCUGACUGUCAUCCCACUAGUGACCUGCAGGUGGAGCUGGUCUCCCUCAUCACAGAUCUGCUCUUUUCCCAUUGGAUUCAAAUGAUGGCCCGAUUGUCGGGGCCGCGGGACGAGGGUGGGCGGGGCGGACCCCUGGGUCCCUGCAGACUCUCACACCUUCCAGUGAAUGGACAGCUGUCAUUCGGUGUUGGAUGGGCCCCUUGUUCGCGGGUAUCAACAGUUCGCCUACAAAGGCGACGAUUUCAUCUCCCUGAAUGACACCUGAGGACGCAGACAGCGGUGGAUACAGCAGUGCAGAUCACCCGGGGCAAGUGGGAGCAGGCUGGUGAGGCGUAAACAUGGAAGACCUACCUGGAACACAUAUGCCUGCCAUUGCUCAGCAGAUACCUGGAGAACGGGAAGGACCAGCUGCUGAGCACAGGUUCAGGCGCCCAGGGCAACUCCAGGGCUCAGUCCUGAGGAAGAAGAGACCUCAGCUGGGGUCCCGCCCCUGUCUCUGAGGGACACAGUGUCCCUGGGGCUCCUGAUCCAGCCUGGCAGGGACUGCACUGAUCUCCCAGGACUCAGCCUUCUCCCUGGAAGGUUCCAGAUCUGUCUCAGGAGGGAGGAGAGAAGACACUCACAUCCCCAGCCGUGGCUCCUUCAGUCUGCAGACCUGGUCAGCCACGGCCUCUCCCAGGCUGGGUUCUCUGCCCAGACCCAGAGUCUGAGUGUGUCAGCCUUACACACCAGGAGCACAGUCUCCUUUACCUGAUGGGAGACGUGGACGCCCCUACCCUAUGCUGGUUCCCCAACUUAUACAACUUUCCAAAAUGCGCAUUGUACCAGAUAAGUGAGUGUGAUUUUUCCAUCCUUCCCUCACCCCAAUUCUCUCUUCCUAGAAUGGUCACUUGAGCACUUAAGGGGUGCACUGAAAAAAGCUCUAAAAUAUAUUUUCUUUUGUCUUUCUUUGUA